rnacentral:lncRNA from 1 species
CUUUAUCACAACAAAGAAUGCUGAUACAUGAGAUUACAAUGAGAGAGAUCACAGAAGCAAUAAUGGAGAUGCCAAAGGAUAAAACACCUGGAGUGGAUGGAUUCCCUGUGGAAUUCUUCACUAAGAACUGGGAAAUAGUCAAGGAUGAUGUAUUUGCUGCUGCAUAUGAAUUCUUUUCCACCAACAGAAUGCCUCAAAUGAUUAAUACAAUAACUAUUGCACUUGUUCCCAAAGUUAAAGCUCCUGCAACUGUUAAAGAUUACAGGCCCAUAGCACCUCAAAUGAUUAAUACAACAGCUAUUGCACUUGUUCCCAAAGUUAAAGCUCAUGCAACUGUUAAAGAUUACAGUCUCAUAGCUUGCUGCACCACCUUAUAUAAGAUCAUAUCCAAAGUCAUUACUAAAAGAAUGAAAAGUGUGAUUGGUGAUCUAAUUGGGCAGGCUCAAUCAACUUUCAUUGAAGGAAGAAGCAUAGUUGAUAACAUUCUACUUAGCCAUGAAAUCUUCAAAGGAUAUUCAAGGAAAGGAGUGUCUCCCGGAUGUGUUUUGAAAGUGGAUCUGAGAAAGGCUUAUGACACUUUGGAAUGGAGUUUCCUUAAACAUGUUCUUAUUGAUCUAGGUUUCCCUGCUAAAUUUGUGCAAUGGAUAAUGGUAUGUUCCAUGAAAUAUUCAAAGGAUAUUCUAGGAAAGGAGUGUCUUCCAGAUGUGUUUUGAAAGUAGAUCUGAGAAAGGCUUAUGAUACUUUGGAAUGGAGUUUCCAUAAGCAGGUUCUUAUUGAUCUAGGUUUCCCUGCUAAAUUUGUGCAAUGGAUCAUGGCAUGUGUUACUACAGUCUCUUAUUCUCUAGUUCUGAAUGGUGGUUUAACAAAACCUUUCAAAGCUAAGAGGGGUAUUAGACAAGGUGACCCUAUGUCACCUUAUCUAUUUCUGAUUGCUAUGGAGUAUUUGAAUAGGGAACUGGGACAACUACACAAGAAUGGUGAUUUCAAUUUUCAUCCUAAAUGCAGGAAGUUUAACAGUAUUCAUGUACGCUUUGCUGAAUCUCUUAUUCUCUAGUUCUGAAUCGUGGUUUAACAACACCUUUCAAAGCUAAGAGGGGUAUUAGGCAAGGUGACCCUAUGUCACCUUAUCUAUUUGUGAUUGCUAUGGAGUAUUUGAAUAGGGAACUGGGACAACUACACAAGAAUGGUGAUUUUAAUUUUCAUCCUAAAUGCAGGAAAUUUAAUAGUAUUCAUGUAUGUUUUGCUGAUGACCUAUUAAUGUUCUGCAGAGCUGAUCUUAUUUCUAUUAGAAUUUUAAAG